GGGGCUAUAGCUCAGCUGGGAGAGCGCCUGCCUUGCACGCAGGAGGUCAGCGGUUCGAUCCCGCUUAGCUCCACCAU
rnacentral:tRNA from 1 species